AUCCGGAGAGAGUCUGGGCGUUCUCGCCCGGCUGGCUGUGUGCUGCCUGGGUCUAAGGUACAGGAGCAGUCAUCGCGAGCGAUCGUCUUCAGAAACUUCAGAACUUACCCAACAGCGAAGACACGGGAAGAGGGGAGGAAGGGCCCGCGUCGGGGGCGACGGAAAGCACGGCUGCGCAGCCGGGGAGGGGCGGCGAGGAACCGGGAGACUCGAAUUCCUUCCCCCGGAGCUGCUGAGCAAGGGGUGUCCGCGAGUCCCCCCGCGCCCCGAGAGCCGGGCCGGGCCGCCCCUUCCAGCUGCGCUCCGAGGCCCGGGCGCCGCGAGAGCCGCGUUCCAGGCGCUCCCGCUGCGCGCUGGGGUUCGGCCCCCGGGAGCGCUCAGCGCCGGCCCCUGCCCUGCCGCCGCCGCCGCCGCCCCUGCUGCGGCUUCGAGCCCGUGGCCGGGUACAGGCAACCGCCAGCGCUGCUGGGCAUCUUUUCACCUCUGCCGCGGGCGCGCCCGGCGACCCGUCAUUUGUACAUCCACAGCGAACGCAGCUCCCCCUUUCUUCUCGGCCGCUCGGGGGUCGGGCAGGAGCAGCGCGCGGUCCCCGCGUGCCCUCCCCUCAGCAUGCCAGGGCAGGGGGCUGGCUGUCGGCCGGCGGCCCGGCUCGGAAGCCCACUCGGGCGCCCCCGUUAUCUCUGCUUUUAUGGUCCCGUGUCACUUUCACUUUGUAAUCCACCAGGCUUUUGUUUGUUAGUUUGUUUGUUGGGGCGGGAGGUAGUCGGCCCCCCUCAGUCGCAGCUUCACCGCGGGCGCCCUCCGCGGCUCCGGACGGCGCCUGUCAGCGCGCUCUCUCCUCCUCGCCUGCCCGGGGCCGAAGGUGGAAACGCUGUGGCGCUGGAGCUCGCCGCCGAGCCCCCUCGCAGGCUGCGCCGAGUCCCUCCCGCUCUCCCCGCCCCUUCCCCGCUGCGCGCACACGCACACACACGCGCGCACACACCACACACUCACACACACACGCACACCGCGCGUCGCCCCCAACACAAACAGAGGGGGCGGGAAGGCCGCGAGCCGCCGCGGGACUCAGAAACUUUGCUCGCCACUCAUUGA
rnacentral:lncRNA from 1 species